AUUGAACGCUGGCGGCAGGCCUAACACAUGCAAGUCGAGCGGAUGAGUGGAGCUUGCUCCAUGAUUCAGCGGCGGACGGGUGAGUAAUGCCUAGGAAUCUGCCUGGUAGUGGGGGACAACGUUUCGAAAGGAACGCUAAUACCGCAUACGUCCUACGGGAGAAAGCAGGGGACCUUCGGGCCUUGCGCUAUCAGAUGAGCCUAGGUCGGAUUAGCUAGUUGGUGAGGUAAAGGCUCACCAAGGCGACGAUCCGUAACUGGUCUGAGAGGAUGAUCAGUCACACUGGAACUGAGACACGGUCCAGACUCCUACGGGAGGCAGCAGUGGGGAAUAUUGGACAAUGGGCGAAAGCCUGAUCCAGCCAUGCCGCGUGUGUGAAGAAGGUCUUCGGAUUGUAAAGCACUUUAAGUUGGGAGGAAGGGCAGUAAGUUAAUACCUUGCUGUUUUGACGUUACCGACAGAAUAAGCACCGGCUAACUUCGUGCCAGCCGCCGCCGUAAAAC
rnacentral:rRNA from 1 species